rnacentral:rRNA from 1 species
GACGAACGCUGGCGGCGUGCUUAACACAUGCAAGUCGAACGAAGUGGCGAACGGGUGAGUAACGCGUAAACAACCUGCCCUUCAGAGGGGGACAACAGUUGGAAACGACUGCUAAUACCGCAUACUGAAGGAGGGGAUUGCGUGUGAUUAGGUAGUUGGGGGGGUAACGGCCCACCAAGGCGAUGAUCAGUAGCCGGGCUGGAGGGGUUGACGGCCAAAGUUGGGCUUGGACACGGGCCAGACUUCUUACGGGGGCAGGAAGUGGGAAAUUUCCGCAAUUGAAGGAAGGCUGGCCGGGCAACGCCGCGUGAGUGAUGGCGGCCUUCGGGUUGUAAAGCUCUGUUAAUCGGGACGCGGUACCGGAAUAGAAAGCCACGGCUAACUACGUGCCAGCAGCCGCGGUAAUAC